rnacentral:tRNA from 1 species
AUUAAGGUGGCAGAGCCCGGUAAUUGCGAAAGGCCUAAGCCCUUUUUCUCAGGGGUUCAACUCCCUUCCUUGAUA